AAGUCGUAACAAGGUAUCCGUAGGUGAACCUGCGGAUGGAUCAUUAACACUUUUCCAAAGUACCUACUAGUAAAACUUUUUUGGUAACCCGAGUUUCCGCGACCGGAUCAUAGAACCCACAAACGGCAGAGCAAAAAAUUCGUUUUUUGCUGUUCUACCGGUAGAAACUCGUUGUUUUCCGUCUCUCUUCGGGGAAUCGGAACUCAACAAAGUCUUGAGAGUUUGACGCUAAACACUCUUCCGGUGGGAUCUUUUUCCCGCUGCAGUUUCACUCUGGCUGCUGUUUUGUAUUGUUUAACCAUUAACGAAUUGUAACUAUAUGUCUGAUUUAAGGGUUGGUCCGAAAGGAUUUUCAACUUUAACUAUUCGCGGAAAUUUUUAUACAACUGUUAGCAACGGAUAUCUUGGUUCUC
rnacentral:misc_RNA from 1 species